GGGGGUAUAGCUCAGCUGGAAGAGCACCUGCUUUGCAAGCAGGGGGUCAUCGGUUCGAGCCCGAUUACCUCCA
rnacentral:tRNA from 1 species